rnacentral:rRNA from 1 species
GAUGAACGCUGGCGGCGUGCCUAAUACAUGCAAGUCGAGCGAACAGACGAGGAGCUUGCUCCUCUGACGUUAGCGGCGGACGGGUGAGUAACACGUGGGUAACCUACCUAUAAGACUGGGAUAACUUCGGGAAACCGGAGCUAAUACCGGAUAAUAUAUUGAACCGCAUGGUUCAAUAGUGAAAGACGGUUUUGCUGUCCCUUAUAGAUGGAUCCGCGCCGCAUUAGCUAGUUGGUAAGGUAACGGCUUUCCAAGGCAACGAUGCGUAGCCGACCUGAGAGGUGGUUCGGACACACUGGAACUGAGACACGGUCCAGACUCCUACGGGAGGCAGCAGUAGGGAAUCUUCCGCAGUGGGCGAAAGCCUGACGGAGCAACGCCGCGUGAGUGAUGAAGGUCUUCGGAUCGUAAAACUCUGUUAUUAGGGAAGAACAAAUGUUUAAGUAACUAUGCACGUCUUGACGGUACCUAAUCAGAAAGCCACGGCUAACUACGUG